rnacentral:rRNA from 1 species
AGCGAACGCUGGCGGCAGGCUUAACACAUGCCAGUCGAGCGGGCCCUUCGGGGUCAGCGGCAGACGGGUGAGUAACACGUGGGAACGUACCCUUUGGUUCGGAAUAACGCUGGGAAACUAGCGCUAAUACCGGAUACGCCCUUUUGGGGAAAGGCUUGCUGCCGAAGGAUCGGCCCGCGUCUGAUUAGCUAGUUGGUGGGGUAAUGGCCUACCAAGGCGACGAUCAGUAGCUGGUCUGAGAGGAUGACCAGCCACACUGGGACUGAGACACGGCCCAGACUCCUACGGGAGGCAGCAGUGGGGAAUAUUGGACAAUGGGCGCAAGCCUGAUCCAGCCAUGCCGCGUGAGUGAUGAAGGCCUUAGGGUUGUAAAGCUCUUUUGUCCGGGACGAUAAUGACGGUACCGGAAGAAUAAGCCCCGGCUAACUUCGUG